CCUCAGCCGACCCCGCCUCCGCCGUCGGGUCCCCACUGGAAGGCACCCUCUGUGCGUCUCUUUGUCUCUCUGGCCGCCUCUGCCUCCGUCUCCGUGUGUCUGUGUCUUCGUGCCUGUGUCUGACUCCGCAUUUCGGCUUGGGUGUCUCUCUCCUAUCCGCGUCUCUCUGUGUCCUGUCUGUCUCUGCCUCGUGUCCCUGUCUCUGCAGCGCCCUCCCCUUCUGUGUCUCUCUGGGUCCCUAGCUCUGUCCCUCUCUAAAUCUGUCCCUAUACUGUGUACUGUCCCUAUGGCUCCCGGCGUCCCUCUGACUCUCUCUGCAUCGCUCUCCCACGUCUGUGAAUUUCUCCGCGUCCAUUUUCCGUCCUCUCCCUCCAGUCCCUGACUCCCUCCCGUGCCUCCUCUGGUCCCGAAUCUCCCCUUCAUCUCCUGCCGGGCCCUCCUCCCUGUGGCCACCUCCUCCAGAGACCUCUCGGGGCCGGUGGGCGGCUGGGCAUGCUGCGCGCGCCCUCGUGUGGCCGGCAGGGGCUGCGUGUGAGCGCCAGAAGGGGAGUGCUGGGGAGCGAGGGACGCUGGUGUUCGUCGUGACACCGGGAAGUGGCGUGUGACACCGGGAGACUGUGUGUGUCCUGACGUGAGAUGAUGUGUGACACUGGGAGAUGGCGUGUGACAUCUGGAGAAAUCGUCCUGGAUCCAUCUCUCCCCAAUCCUCCAUCUCCUUCUCUGUCUUGUCCCUUCUGUCCUCUGUCCCUCUAUCUCCUUGUCUCUGUCCCUUUAUCCCCUUGGUAUCUCUCUGCUCCUUCCUCCAUCCCUACUUCCUCCAUCUCCCCUUCUCUCUCCAUCUCCCCAUCCUC